rnacentral:rRNA from 1 species
AUGUCUUUGUUCCGUCAGUCUUGUAUCUCAUCAGGAUUUAGUGUGUGUUUUGUCAGUCUUCAGUGUCUUGCAUCUCAUCAGGAUUUAGUGUGUGUUUCUUCAGUCUUUUCUCUGUCAGUGUUUAGAUUUCAGUGCUAUAUCAGAUACAGUAUAUCUUUACCAACGCAGCAUUUUGUCAAAAAAUCAAGUCUAUCUAGCUUUUUCUCUUACAUUUUUGCCUCGAGUUUUUGUGCAGCUAUGUUUUCUUUUUCCAGAGAUGAUCACAUGUAUGUAUUUUACCGUGUGUUUAUCUAG